UACGAAGGGUGCAAGCGUUACUCGGAAUUACUGGGCGUAAAGCGUGCGCAGGCGGUUGUGCAAGACAGGUGGGAAAUCCCCGGGCUUAACCUGGGAACUGCACUUGUGACUGCACGGCUGGAGUACGGCAGAGGGGGAUGGAAUUCCGCGUGUAGCAGUGAAAUGCGUAGAUAUGCGGAGGAACACCGAUGGCGAAGGCAGUCCCCUGGGCCUGUACUGACGCUCAUGCACGAAAGCGUGGGGAGCAAACAGG
rnacentral:rRNA from 1 species